rnacentral:lncRNA from 1 species
CUGCAGUACAAGAGCUGAGACAAGAUACAAUAACAAUGAACGACAACAUCACAACCAUGAUACGGUUCUGGAAUAUCGGGUAAGACCGACAGCAACAUCCAGCUUGGGGGAGUUCCUCCCAAUUUGUCAAGUAAGUUUUUAUUUGCUCUUCUUAUUUAUUCUUUUCUAUUUUAGUGUUUAUUUAUCUUAAAGAGAAAAACUUAGAAAACCAAAUAAAUAUUUUCUUGCUUAAAUUUACUGCAUUUUAUAAAUAUGAAAACAAAAUAAAAAGAGUGUGUAGAUAAGAGUGCUUUAUUUAUCUGCUAAAUAUUAAUCUCUAGAAAAAAUAAAAAGACCAAAAAGAUGUAUGAUGGAAAUGAUGAAUAGUUGCUCUGUUUGCUUACUUUCAAGUACCUAGCUUUUAUAUUAGAGUUCUUCCAGGAAUUACUAAAACUUAAUUUACUAUGUAUGGAAAGCAUAAAACUAAAGUCUAGGUAAGAGAAAGGCAUAAUAUAAAGUUUGAGCUGCUAUUUAUCUUGUUCCUACUAAACUAAGUUCUGGAGAUUUAUUUUGGAAACUUACAAAUCACAUGAUGAGUUCCUAGCAUUAUAAACUACCUACCACAACCAUACUUGCUAUAACAUCUUUUACUACACUUACAUUGAGUUUCGAGCUGUGUUGACCCUUAGGAGCUUGUCAUGUGGUUAAAUUAAGAUAUUCACUUGCACACAUCUACUACACCAUCCACCACCAUUUAUUAAAAUUGCUAAAAGUAAUAUUAUCACUCACUGUCCCAAGUAUUGUUAUUCUCUCUCUCUAAGAAGAUUCAAUGCAGAAGAGGCAUGGGUUAUGCAAAAAUAGACGAGGAAAUAAAAAGGGGCAAGUGCCCGGAAUCUCGGAAAGAAAGAAAAAGAGUGAGACGAGAGGUAAAAAUGGAUAAGUGUCCGACAGUAGAAUUAGGGGUAUCUACUACCCACCUGAAAAAAAAGAGAGAAAAAGAUAGCCCAUGCUCUCCCAAAGCAAAGAUCAAAGAAGAGGAG